UAGUGAGGUUUUUAAAUUCGUAAGCCUAAUCAUGCAAGUCGGAUGGGAUUCAGGGAGUAGCUUGCUACAAACUGAUGAGAGUGGCGAGGGAGCGUAACGCGUGAGCAACCUACCCAUAUCAGGGGGAUAGCCUCUCGAAAGAGAGAUUAACACCGCAUAACAUCAUUUACCGGCAUCGGUUUUUGAUCAAAUAUUUAUAGGAUAUGGAUGGGCUCGCGUGACAUUAGCUAGUUGGAGAGGUAACGGCUCACCAAGGCUACGAUGUCUAGGGGCUCUGAGAGGAGAAUCCCCCACACUGGUACUGAGACACGGACCAGACUCCUACGGGAGGCAGCAGUAAGGAAUAUUGGUCAAUGGAGGCAACUCUGAACCAGCCAUGCCGCGUGCAGGAUGACUGCCCUAUGGGUUGUAAACUGCUUUUGUCAGGGAAUAAACCUUUCUACGUGUAGGAAGCUGAAUGUACCUGAAGAAUAAGGAUCGGCUAACUCCGUGCCAGCAGCCGCGGUAAUACGGAGGAUCCAAGCGUUAUCCGGAUUUAUUGGGUUUAAAGGGUGCGUAGGCGGUCCUAUAAGUCAGUGGUGAAAGACGGCAGCUUAACUGUCGCAGUGCCUUUGAUACUGUAGGACUUGAAUCUAUUUGAAGUGGGCGGAAUAAGACAAGUAGCGGUGAAAAUGCAUAGAUAUGUCUUAGAACUCCGAUUGCGAAGGCAGCUCACUAAGUUAGUAUUGACGCUGAUGCACGAAAGCGUGGGGAUCAAACAGGAUUAGAUACCCUGGUAGUCCACGCCCUAAACGAUGAUAACUCGAUGUUUGCGAUACACAGUAAGCGUCCAAGCGAAAGCGUUAAGUUAUCCACCUGGGGAGUACGGUCGCAAGAUUGAAACUCAAAAGGAAUUGACGGGGGCUCGCACAAGCGGAGGAGCAUGUGGUUUAAUUCGAUGAUACGCGAGGAACCUUACCCGGCCUUGAAAGUUAGUGAAUGAUCCAGAGACGGAUCAGUCCUUCGGACACGAACUAGUGCUGCAUGCUGUCGUCAGCUCGUGCCGUGAAGUGUUGGGUUAAGUCCCGCAACGAGCGCAUCCCCCUAUGUUUAGUUGCCAGCACCGUUAUGA
rnacentral:rRNA from 1 species